GAGAAAGAAAUCCAUAUAGUGAAGUGAGUUUUUAAAUUCCUUUCCCUAAAAUUAUUUCUCUUUCUCCUCUAAGUUAUUCGUUAGAAAUUAAUUCUUCCUUGUAAUAUCCCAAAAACCAGGUCAGAAAAAAGUGAGUUAGUGAAAUCCAAAGUGGCCUUAAGUUCUGGGUUUGAAUUAAGAUUUUGAAAUGUGUGACAAGUAAAUUGAUCUGGUUCAGUGAUUAAGUGUUUUGUCUAUGUGUGUAAGGUUCUAGGUUAGAAUCUUGUUUCUGGAAAUUUUGUUAUUUUGCUAAAACCCCUACCUUUGAAAGUUUGAUUUAUAAGUUAAAUUCAGUCAAUUGAUGUUAAGAAUGAGUCUAUUGGUUCAAUGAUUAAGCUUUUAUAUACUCUUUAGUCUUGUGUUCGAAUCUCGUCGAAAGCAAUAUGGAAUGAUUUAUUUUUGAAUUUCUUUGUGUGGUAAAUAGUUUCAGUUGGUUACUUAAAACCUUCCAGAAACCUGAGGUGGUUUUCAUUUUGUUUUUUUCUUUUUCUGUCAUGUUUUUCUAUCAUUCCUCUCCCGUUCUUUAGUUUCUUCGUUUUGGGUUCUUAUUUUCAAGUGAUCUUUCUUUUUGUUAUGUUACGUUACACUGAUUUUGUACGGGGUUUGACUUCUCAUUCUAGUUUAAUUCGUUGGCUGGGACGGGAAAUCAACCUUACUGCUUCUGCUUCGAAUCCGUAUCAGGUGUGUAAUGGCCCAAUAUUGCUCGGGCCCAAAAUCACAAAUAAAUAAACCAGACCAAAAUUAUUAUUAAAAGUCCAAAUGUCCAGAUUACAAACCAAAAUAAAUUAAGCCCAAACCCAAUUAACCUAGCCCAAACACUAAACCCAAUUAGCCUAAACCUAAACCCAAUACUCUGGCCUAACACAAAAACACAUGGCAUCAAAAAAACCCUAGCAGUAGCCCUUCCCAGUGUUACAGCAGGGAAGCCCCUUCGCUCUCCCUCUGCACGAGCAUGCCUCUCCCCACGUACGUGCCACAUCUGCGCCUCCAUACCCGUACCUGCAGCAAACGACAACAAGCACAACAAAAGCAGCAAUAGCAGCAGAAGACACGAGAAUAGCGAGGAAAAAUAGUAGAAAUUUAGAAAAUAAUUUCCUGUAAAUUUCUAUUUUUAUUUUCGGCUAUAUAAGGCCGUUUGUGAAUUUGUAAAGGGAUAUUUUUCCCCUUUUUACACAGAAUCUUUCCAUACAUAUUGAAUACAAAAAGAAUCAAAGAGAAUAUUCAAAAAAAAAGAAGAGUAGAAAGUCGAAAGGUGGUUUCAAUUCUUUUCCUUUGUUUUCUUUUUUUUUCUUUCUUUGCUUCAUAUGCUGAAACGAGAGAAAAAGAAAAAAAGUACGUUUACCUGGUAGCCGAGUCUCCUUCCACUUCAUCGCGAUCGAAGUAGGGUGGAGAAUCUAGAGGCUUUUGAAUGGCCUGUGUGUUGAAC
rnacentral:lncRNA from 1 species